UGUUUUAUUGCCUGUGAUGUGCAGUGUUAUUAUAGAGGGUCAGGUUCACAUGUCAGGAAGGCAUGUGAUCACCGGAUACUGAUGAUGACCGAGUGGACUGAUUAAUGCUCUUAAACGCAGAAGAUCACUCGGAACUUUAACUCAGAAGAAGCUGCUGAUGAAGAGUUUUUAAUUUAUUUAUACAGUGGAUUAAAGUCUGUGCUGACUUUGUGACAAUGAGGCUUGCAAACAGAAAGCGGGUAGAAGCUGUAAACGGAGCGGAUUCCCAAGUUUCAGAGCACUUCAUAAAUCCUUUUACACACGAGUUGAGGUUCACUUCUGUGCAGAAAGUCAAGAUUGCAUUGAUGACUGUGACGCUGUUUCCUCUGCGAAUGCUUUGUUCUGCCUUUUUCACGUUGCUCACAUGGCCUUUUGUAUUUGUGGCCACUGUGGGCCGCACCGAGGACGCCGUGGAGCCUCUUUCCUGGUGGAGGUGGCUGGUGGAUCUAAUCAUCAGGGGAUCCAUGAGGGCGUUGUGGUUUUCCGGCGGCUUCCACUGGAUCCAGGUGAAAGGCAGACCAGCUCUGCCCAGUGAAGCACCCAUACUCACGCUGGCACCGCACUCGUCUUUCUUUGAUGCCAUUCCUGUGACCAUGACCAUGGCAUCGAUAGUGAUGAAAGCAGAGAACAAAAACAUUCCUGUCUGGGGCACGCUGAUUAAGUUCAUCCGUCCAGUGUUUGUGUCACGCUCGGAGCCUGAUUCUCGCAGGAAGGCUGUGGAGGAGAUUAAACGCAGAGCACGCUCAGCAGGCCAGUGGCCUCAGAUCAUGAUUUUUCCCGAGGGGACCUGUACCAACAGAUCCUGCCUCAUCACAUUUAAGCCUGGUGCAUUUAUUCCUGGGGUUCCGGUCCAGCCGGUGGUUCUGCGCUAUCCUAACGAACUGGACACGAUCUCAUGGACAUGGCAGGGACCUGGAGCGUUUAAGAUCCUGUGGCUCACGUUGUGUCAGUUCCACAAUUCUAUAGAGAUCGAGUAUCUUCCUAUUUACACACCAUCAGAGGAAGAGAAAAAGGAUCCGGCUCUGUUUGCCAGCAAUGUGAGACACAUCAUGGCCAAAGCGCUGCAAAUACCAACUGUAGACUACUCGUUUGAAGACUGUCAGCUCUCAAUGGUCAAAGGUCCCCUGUGUUUACCUAGCCACACAUGCAUGCUGGAGUUCUCCAGACUGGUGUGUAAACUUGGUCUGAAGGUGGGAGUCACAGAUCAGGUCCUGCAGGAAGAGGGCAAAAAAGCACGCAAUCUCUGUGGAAGAAAACUGAGUCUGGAGGAAUUUGCAGAAUACUUAAACCUUCCAAUGACGGAAACUCUGCAGGACGUCUUUGCACUCUUUGAGGAGCAUGGUCAGAUGGAUGUGAGGGAAUACGUCAUUGCUCUCUCUGUGAUCUGCAGACCCUCGAAGUAUCUCGACACUCUUCAGCUCGCCUUCAGGAUGUUUGAGGCUGAGGAGAGCGGAGCUGUCAUAGAGGACGAGUUCGCCGUCAUUCUGAAAUCAGUUCUUGGAGUGGAAGAUCUUGCUGUGGGUGAUGUCUUCAGAGCUGUUGAUAGAGGAGACAAAGGAAAGAUCACCUUUGAUGAUUUUUGCCAUUUCCUGGAGAGCAGUCCAAACUUCAUGGAGUUAUACCACUGUGUCGAUGAAAAAUCCACACACACAUGUUCAGGACUCGUACAACCUGCAACCAACAGCUUCUGCCCUGACUUCAGUCCUCAGGACCAAAACACACACAGCAAGAAACAUGACUGAUACCGAGGGAAAAAAAAAGAGAGGCUGCUGAAGGAUGUUAUAACGUGGCUACAACACAACAUCAAAUCAGUCUCUAGAUUGUUGACGAGAGGUCCGAGAAGAACGGACAGACUGGUUCGAGCUGACAUAAAGGCUGUGGUUACUCUUUACAACUGGAGCUAGGCAGAAAAACAUCCCAGAAUGCACAACCUUGCAGUGGAUGGGCUACAACAGCAAAAGUCCACAUCACGUUCCAUUCCUGCUUUCAAAGAACAGGAAUCUGAGGCUACAGUGGGCCUCACCGAAACUGGACAGGUUAAUAUUGGAAAAAGACCAGGUUUUCCUCAAUGUUUGAUGUGAACAUUAACAAAAGCUCUUGACCUGUAUCUGCAUGAUUUUAUGCAUUGCACAGCUGCAUGAUUGGCUGAUUGGAUAAUUGCAUGCAUGAGCAGGCGUACAGGUAAGCAUAUAUAUCUUACAGAGGUAUAUUGUCUAAAGGUACCUUUUUAGAGCAAGGCAGUUACAUAUACUACCUGUGUAUGUUUUUUUUGUUUGUUGGUGAUACACAGAAAUGUUGACACCUUCAUUCUAUGGAGACAAGUGGAUAAACAACAGCUAUACACUAUACACCAAUUUAGCUAGUACAUUACAUUACAUUUAUGGCAUUUGGCAGACGCCCUUAUCCAGAGUGACUUACAUAUAUCUCAUUUAUACAACUGAGCCUUGCUCAAGGGCCCAACAGUGGCAGCUUGAACUCAUGAACUUCUGGUCAGAAGUCCAAUGUCUUAACCACUGAGCUACCACUGCCACAUGGUAGUAAACCUACUAUAUAGUGUGGGUGCAUUUGACUGUGUCCCUUCUACUGCUGUGCACAGAGUCAGACUCUCUUUACUUCUAAUACAAGGGACCACCAUAGAUGAUCAUACUACUGACCAGAUAUUAUUUUGUGUACCUAAAUAACUGGCAAUUCAGUGUCGUCUAAAUCCAAGGCCUCUCUUUUCUCCUACUUCUAGCAUGUUUACUGUUGUGUUCAAUUUUGCGUACAGACCCAGAGUUAACUUGAAGUUAUAAGCACUGCAGUUUACCCAUUAGCAGAUGACGUGUACACAGUGGUGGCUUUGGAAAGGGUGGAAACACAUCCACUGAUACCUCACACAGAAUGAGUCAUAUACAGCCGCCUGGUCAAUGGAGCGUUCCCGUCUCAUCUCAUUUUCCCUGGAGCGCUCUUCUCUCACUGCACUCUGUUCCACUGACUGAGCUUCUCCCUGCUCUCACGAUGGGACCGGCUGGAUAACAGCGCUUUCUAGUUAUGAAGACAUCCAUCCUGUGUAGAGGAAUGCCUCAAAUCAGUGUGUUCAGUGGUCUGAGGCUGAAAGACCAUGAACUGUCAAAAUUCAAUGGAUGUCAGGAUGCCGGUGACGGCAACGUCUCGAACGAGUGUGUGCACACUGUGCAAGGUAUCAAAAUCUAUAGUGUAUAAGAUCAAAAGGCCAUGACACCUGGAUUUUUUCCCCCUCAUCUCUGAGUUCCACAUUAAGGCACAUAAGCGCAGAGCAGCAAGUACUGCGGUUUUG